AUGGUGUUUGGUUGGGAGUGGUAAGUUUAAUGUUCGAUCUUAAAUAUUAAUAUGAGGCUAUUCAUGGAACAGCUGUUAAUUCAUUUCCUUCAAAGAGUAUUUGGUGUGUUAAGGCUCCCAAGAGUGUGUCCUUUGUGUGAACAGUAGCUUGGUGUAAGAUUCUUACUAAUAAUAAUCUUCAUAUGAGGGGUUUCUUCUUUGUUUUCUGGUGCUGUAUGUGUUGUUGUAAUGGGGAAAUGAUGGAUCACUUAUUGCUUCAUUGUGAUGUUGCUUAUGUUUUGUGGAGGAGUAUUUAAGAUAUUUUGAGUUCUGUGGGAAAUACCGUCAACAGUAGCAAAUAUAAUUUGGAUGAAGGAAUUGGUUUGGGAAGCACUUUUCAGAUGUUUGGAAUCCUACUCCGUUAUGUUUGAUGUAGAUAGUGUGGAAGGAAAGGAAUAGCCGUACUUUUGAAGACAAGGAGUGACCCCUUGAUCAAUUGAAGUUCUUGCUGUUUUGUACCUCGUUUAAUUGGUCUUGUGCUUGGGGUUUUACUCAUUGUAAUCCCAUUUUGGAGUUCCAGGACUCCUGUUGUUUUCCUAUAUGAUUUAAUGAAGUAAUCUUCUUUUUUUUUGAAUAAAUAAUAUUACUUUUCAAAAAAAUUCAGAGCCAUAAGGUGUUAACUAAUUGUGUAUAUUUGCUAAAAUAGAGUGGAAAACCAUAUGUAACAAAGUUUUUUAGUAUAUAUGUACCAUCAUGUCUGACAACUUGGAUUCUUUCUAAACGUAUUGAAACUCCUGUUUUCUGAUAAGUAAAAAUGUACUGAAACUCCUCCAUACAAAUUUCUAAAUUUUCAGGUGAUAUACCUAGGAAAGAAAAGAAAAGAAAAGUAGAACCAUAUAAAAUCUAAAGACUUGAUUAACAGUAUCGAUUUAGGUAUAUGAAUUUGCAAUUUUUUUUUUUUAAUUUUUAAUUUUAUAAUCGAAAGAAGGGAGAAAUAUUGCAACUAGAAUAUACUUAAAAGGAUUAUUAUUAUUGUAAUGUUAAUUUAUUUAUUUCUACUUUGUUGUUUCUACUUUUUUAAUACAAGGUGUUAAACAUACUUUUUUUGUGUGGAUAUGUACAAGGUGUGAAACAUACUUGAAAAUUUUUUAAUUUCUUUUGGAUAUUUUUUCAAUAAAUAUUUUUACUUUUUGACUUACUAUGAACCUCUUCUAUUUAUUGUAUUCAUAAAUAGUUAUGAAUUAAGUUGUUUAUUAUCAUUUAUUAUAUUAUGAUAUAAUUAUGAGUUAAAUUAUUUACAAUGUCUCUCGUUCAACCAUUGAUUGGAUACUUGGAUCACAAAUCAACGAAAGCACUCUCUAUUCCUGUUCUUUGUCCAUUCCGGUUUUUAAAAUUAUGAUCUAGUGGCUCUAAAUUUAUCAUACAGUGGUAAUGUGAUUAUUACAUAUAAAACUUAAAUCACAAACAGAAAACAUUUUAAGUUUAAACAUACAAAACAGCAACUAAAAGAAACCAAGAUUGAUCUCACAAGCUUAUGGAUGUCAAGGGUUCUAUAACGUUAGUAAAAAGUCUUCUUCCACAUGCUUUCUACACCUAAUAGAGUACCUUAGUGUUGUCAGAUUGGUUACUGACCUUAUGUAUGUGGAAAUUAUAUAGUAAGAGUGGUGGGUAUACUUCAUGGUCAUUCUUAAAUCUUAGACGAAACUAUAGAUCAAUAACUUUCAUAUCCUGAUUUACAUAACAAUUUUCAUUGUGAACUUUGUUAGUUACCUGCAGAAGAAAAGAAACAAAAAAGGGGGUUGAACACAUAUUUUUCACUUAUGUCUGUCAGAAUCAUAGUUUGUUUUGGGCUGUUUUAUGAAGCUUUCUUGCAUAAUAUCUUGAUCAUUGCUACCUUUGACUUUUCAAAAAUACUUGUCCUUUCAGUUAAAAAUGAGUAACUCUAGCAUUUUUAGCGGGAGGAACUUGUCUUAUGAGUUCUCUCUCUCUCUCUCUUCUACCUACUGUGUACAUACAUACUAUAUGUCUCUUUGCGAUUUCUUGCGUUGUACUUCUAGUUUUUUGGUGUGGACUGAUUUUUAUUAUUUUGCACUGUUAGAUAUUAUGAAGGCCUACAAAAAUGUGUUGGGCUAUAUUCAGAAAAUGACCAGUUUUCUGCUGAUGAAAUUGAUCAAUUAGAAGCCUUAUACAAAUCUCUUGGGCAGCAACAGAAGUGGUCAUCUGCUGUUAAGGUAGCAAUUUCAUUGAUUUUUUUUUACAUCUUCACUUUUUAGAAUGAAAACAUUAUGUCUUGCUAGGUUUGCAGUUUUAUUUACACUUUUUCUAGUUCUUGUCUUUCAUUGCUAUGCUGAAAAUUCUUAUCCACUAAGUUUUAAAACCAUAUAUAUUCUUUUGACUUUAGAGUGCAUUGCCAUUUCAGUGUACAGUGGUGGUUGUACAUCUUCCUUAAAAGUAGCAUGGAUAUCCUUGUAUUGUUUAAACAAUGAUGGUGGAUGCUUUGACUUUUGUAGGUUCAAAUUCUGACGGCGUCUCAACACGCACACACAUUUGUGUUUUUGCAUUUGUGUAUUAUAUUGAAUAUGAUAGAUGCUUGGUUUUAUGUUUUCAAUACCUUUUCUGUUACAACGAUUUCAUGAUUUUGUUUUUUCAUUACCAAAGUUAUUGUUUGUUUUUAGCCAAUGACCUAUAAGUCAAAUGGUGUCUGAUGGUUUUCCCAAUAGAGACAUCUAGGGUUUGAAUUCCCCCUCCAUCCACUUAAAAUGUGUUAAAUAUAUUUAUUUUUUGUUUUAUUCUUCUUUUUGUUGUUAUCAUCAUCAUCACUAUGAUUAUUGAUAAACUUCCAUUUAUCUCAACAGUUUUAGCUGAUAAGAAAAUGUGAAUUUAAUUAAUCAUGUACAGUGUGUUUGGAGGAAGGGAGUACAUGUUUAGGGGGAAGGUGAGGAGAGGGGAGGGGAAUGGUCAUAUAAAUUGACAUUUAUGGCCUCCCUCUCUCCCUUUAAAGAAAUGUAAACAAGGUCCGUUAAAUCCUCCCAAAUUUUCAUGCUCUUUACCUUCCCCUUCCCUGUACUCCCCUUCCAUCCAAACACACUGUUAAUCAUUAUUCUAACACUUUAUGUGUGGGCCCAAGCUUUCCCUCACUUAGUGGGGGUUCAAUGUGUGGAAUUUUUAAUUUUUAAUCGGAGUUGGAGUGGAUGCAUGGUUCGAAUUUAAGACCACCUGUUGUAAUACCACGAUAAACUUCAACUCAUCCUAAAAGCUCAAGUUGAUAUGAAACGAUGAACUUAAUAGCUUCACCAUUCUUCUAACAACAAUGAUGUGCUGGUUCAUUCUAAUGUAAAAUGAAUUAUAUAAAUAUUCCUUUGGUUGAUCCCUACUUUUUUUCCCUGGCCUCAGAGAAUACCACUUGACUUUCUACAAGGCAACAGGUUUCGAGAAGCAGCCGAAAAUUAUAUUAGACCUCUCCUAACAAAGGUUUUUAUGGUUCUUUCUUAUGCCAUUGUUAUUGGUCUGCUAAUAUUGGGUUUAAAGUUAUGACUGUUCUUGGUGUGUUUAGGGAGUUCCUUCAUUGUUCUCCGAUCUCUCUCCUUUGUACGAUCACCCUGGCAAGGUUGGUAUUUUUGCUCUUAAAGAUCAUCUAGUAUAAGAGUGAUAUUCUAUUUAAAUGUUUUAGAAAAUUUGAUGCUCCAGUUGGACAUUGUUUCAGCCAGAUUUUUUUGCUUGUCACUCUUAUCCAGGCAGAUAUUCUGGAGCAACUUAUACUUGAGUUGGAGCAUUCACUAAGGACAACUGGCCAAUACCCUGGGAGGUAAUACAUGCUUUUCUUCACUCUCAUGUUGUAUUGUAAUAGACACGUCAACAAAUUUCUGUGGCACAGAUGCCAAAUUUCAAAUAUUGACACAAUAAACAAUAUUCUGAUGCUGUCCACAAUAUUGUUGAACCCAUUAACAGAUUCUGCAUUUUAGUGUAUAUUGGGCUUUUGAUUCCUUUUCCCCCCCUUUUAGGGAAAUAAGAGCUAAUAUUGGUAAAAGCAUGCUUAAAGUGGCAAGCCCAUGCUCUUUUCACCUCCAAAGUGAGGCGGCACGCUGUUGGGAGUUUUUCCAAUUUGCUCAAACAGUGUUGUUUUUAAAAUUGUUUUUAAAUUCACCAAAUGUGAUUUGUAGCCAUCUAAAUUAAUACUAUAUAUAUAUUUUUCCAUAUAUAUAUAUAUAUAUAUUUUUUUUUUUGGUAAGUUAGAGAGAUGUAUAUUCAAGAAGCUACCUCAUGAAAACAACAUAAGGCAGAACAAAGAUUACAGAGAAGGAAACAAACAUGAAAAAACAACAAAACAAACAACAACCAACAAAGAACAAAGAACAAAGGAGGGAAUUAAGGAACAUAGGGAGAGAAUCACUAGAAGAUAUGGAAAUAAUAUAUAUGUAUGUAUAUUUGGUAAGUAUUAAGAUUUUAUUAAAAACCCAAAAAAGGAGUCACCCAAAGCCUCAAAUUACAAAUAUCCAUCAAAUCACAAAUAGAAGAUAUGGAAAUACAGUCCCUGGCGGACAUCCAAUCCAACAGAGUUCUUAAAAAGAACAGUUUAAAAUCCGGUAUGUUUCUUUUGAUGUCUUCAAAACUUCAAGCAUUCCUCUCCCUCCAAAUACACCAAAUAAUACAGUUUCUAUGCUUUCCAAAGCGCCCUUGCCAAGCAGCAAGCAAAUCAACAAUGGAUUUUGGCAUGACCAAAUCCAGUAGAUUUAUAUAAAAGUCAAUUUCAUGGUAUGGUACUAUAAACUGAAGCCCACCCCUCCACCUUUAAUAAUUCUAGAGCAUACCAUUUGAGACCCAAGUCACUCUGCACUACACAGCACACAUACCCCUCUCUCUCACAGUCUCACCAAAGGAGCUUGAGUCAAAGAUUAAUCUUUAGUUUACCAUGUAUGCUUCUCUCUCUUCUCUCCGGUCUUCUUGCUUAAAAGCAUCUCCCCUCCCCUCCCUUUCUUUUCAACUGUUCCUAUGAGUUCCCAAAACCCAGGAUCCCUCUCUCUCUUUCUCACACCCUUCUCCCCAUAGUUUCCCACAAGCACAACCCUUUCCUUUUCUUCUUCUUCUUCUUCUUUUUUUUUUUUUUUUUUUUUUUUUUUUUUUUUUUUUCCCGAAACUUUUUUUUUUUUUUUUUUUUUUUUGAUAAGUUGUCCCGAAACUUUAUCUCUGAUCUGCUAUGUCCUGAACCCACACCCCAUUUGUUCUCCUCUUCUUCAUCUUUUAAAUUUUGUUUCUAUUUACUUAUCAAAAAAAAAAAAAAUUUUGUUUCUCUUAAAUUUUUCUGCUUGUUACUGAAACCCAUAACCACCCCCCCCUUUUUGUGGAGUUUUUCCUUGUUGAAACCACUUCAGCCCUUUAAAUCCUAGUGCUUUUUGGCCUCUGCCUUAUUGGGUAUUAUUUGAUUCAAUCAUGUACUUCAUGUCUUCAUUAUAGUCAUGGCUAUCAAGUACCCUGGUUGUAUAUAUAUAUAUAUAUAUAUAUUUUGUCAAAUACCAAGUUUGUAUAUAUUAUGUAAAGCACAAGGGAGUUAUUUAAAAUGUUAUAUUUCAAUUUACAUGAUUAUUUGAUCACUUGAUUGUUUCAUUGCCCAUUAAUAAUUUUUUUCCUUCAAAUUUGUGACAUUAUUUUAAAAAAACGUGUGCUCUACUUUAAUUAGGCAUGCCCUUGCACUUUGUCCCUAGGAUCCAGGAGGCCUUUGACUUUAAUUGGCCCUGUGCUUUUACCAGUACUGAUAAGAGCAGCCAAUUAUUCUCUCAUGGAAAAUAGUUCACUUGGGUUGGACCAUUAAUGUGGGAAAAGUGAAUUUGGAAUGUCAAACUAGUUAGAGAAUCGGUUUGGUAUCAAGUAUAUGUUGAAUUAUCUCUCCACUGAUGUUUGUCUUACUACUUGCAGGACUGAAAAGGAGCCCCCUUCAACACUUAUGUGGGCAUUGUUUCUAUUGGCUCAGGUUGUUGGCUCUCUUGGAUGUGUUUCUUUUUUUUCUUUUUUUUUUCCAACCUUUUCUUUUACACCCUUAUUUAUUUUCUUUGGGAAAUUUUCUUAUAAAUUUUCUGUUCAUACAGCACUACGACAGACGGGGUCAAUAUGACAUUUCUCUAUCGAAAAUUGAUGAAGCUAUCGAACACACUCCAACUGUGAUUGAUCUGUACUCUGUCAAGGUCUUUGUAUAUUUUAAACUCUCCUUCUUCAAACUUUUGAUUUUAUACAUUCUCUGAUUAAUAACCUCCAUGGUUUUGCAUUAUGGGUAGCUGUGUAUCUAUUUUAUUUAUUGGUGCUUGGCCAUUCUGUUCUCUAGUUUAAGUUCUCAGUUUCCUUUACUGCAAUAUCCAAAUAAUUAAAGUCAUCCCCUCCCCCCAAUACCACCCCCUUUUUUUUUUUUCUAAGUUCAAAUUUUGGUUAUGAAAAUAUGAAUGACUAGGCAAAUAUAUGGCUGUCAAUAAUGCAUACCUGAAAAUAUCAGUUGAAUAGCAUCUCAGUUGGUUUGAAUUGUGCCUACCUUAAUGGUGUGGUUGUUAGGCAAGUACCCAAGGAUUACUCCUGUGGGGGAUUUUGUUGUCUUUAUGGUUUUCUUUGAUGUGAAACGGGAAAAACUUCAAUUAUAAACAUUAUUGCGGAUUUUUGUUUUUGUUUAAUUCUCUAAAUAUUUUAGUAACUUUGAGAAGUUUGGAAGCUCGUAAGUUUGAUGUUCUUGAAAAAUACUAAUUCUGCUUGUCUUUUGACCAGAGUCGAAUAUUGAAGCAUGCGGGCGACUUGGCAGCAGCUGCUGCAUUGGCUGAUGAAGCUAGGUGUAUGGAUCUUGCUGAUCGUUACAUAAACAGUGACUGCGUCAAGCGUAUGCUACAGGCUGAUCAGGUUUGGAAGCUUCCUUUCAUCUUCUGUUGAUUCAAUAAGCUUUGUAUUUUUGCAUAAUUCUGCAUUUGCUUUAUUGAAACUGCUUUUUUGAAGGUGGCUUUGGCAGAAAAAACUGCUGUAUUGUUCACAAAAGAAGGGGAACAACACAACAACCUUCAUGACAUGCAGUGCAUGUGGUCCGCCUCUUUUUCUUGCUGAAAUUGCUCAUUGCGUAAAAUAGAUAUCUUGGUUGUAGAUGUUUAAUGUGCUAUAUGUUAUUUUUCAUCUUUGGAAGGUAUGAACUUGCUUCUGGUGAAAGUUACUUCCGCCAAGGUGAUCUUGGACGGGCCUUGAAGAAAUUUUUAUCUGUGGAGAAGCACUAUGCUGAUAUUACAGAAGAUCAAUUUGACUUUCAUUCUUAUUGCUUGAGGAAAAUGACUCUGCGCACCUAUGUGGAAAUGCUCAGAUUUCAAGAUCGUUUGCAUUCUCAUGCAUAUUUCCACAAAGCAGCAGCUGGGGCUAUCAGGUGAAACAUUCUGUUGGUGUGAAAAUCAGAUUUUCGAUGAUUGACAAUGAAAUGCUAGUCUUAGAGACAUGCUUUGCUGUUCGUCACUUUGCAUUUGAAACUUUUCUGGUGAACCUCAUUGCAUUAAUUUGGUGCGUCUUUGAAGUUUAUGGGAAAGUUGUCAAUAUCAUACUAGAGGCUGUUUCAGUUUGGUUAGGGGAGCAUAAUAUUUCUGUAACCGGUUAAUACUGGUGUACUGUUUUAGGAUUACAGUUAUUUUUAUGAUUAUGUAUACAUUUAUAUGUUUAAAACAUAGUUAAAAAUCAACAUAUUUUAUAAGCCCCAUAUAUAAAUAGCAAGCUAUAUAAACCCUUUUUACUUUUUCUUCUUCUUGUACCAGCCAAAACACCUGAAAGACCCUUGGUAAAGCCGGUUCCAUAUCUGGAAUAUUUCAAGGUGGGGUAUUCGUAUCAAUUUAGUGGCCUGCAUGGUACGGUAUUGACCACGUUGGUUUUCUUGGGCAGAUAAAAUGCUUUUUAAUGUUCAUGUUUGUGUCAACUGUGUAAUGUUUCAUUGCUAUACCCAUUGCCUCUGAGAUGGACUUCGUUGCCUUUCAUUUUUUUAUCUGAAUUCUGACAACUUUUCUUUCUGUUUUGUAUGCAAUUGCUUUGCUCAUUGCCUUUGAGAUGGUACUUUAUCUCCUUUUGUAUAUUUAAAUACUGGCAACUUUUCUCUUUCAGUUUUGUCAUGACUUUUGGUGGUAGGAAUGAGUUUUGUUGUUAUUACUUGUUAAAAGACUGUAAAUAUUGUUGUAUCAAAUGACGCAUUCUCUGGUUUUGUUUUGCUCUGUUUCACUUAUUAUUAAUUUACUUUGUAUAGGUUCUUCACCAAACAUAUGCAUCAGUCAUUUGUAAAACACGCUAUGAUGUUUAUUGUUAUGUUUGUCAUCAUUCACUUGCAGUGUAGUGCAUCUAGUCUUUUAAUUGUUGUCCUCAUUUCAUAUUUUGAGUUUUUGGAUUUUGAGGUGCAGGUGCUUUUAUAAUAUAAAGCAGUCUGUUCAUGCGGAUCUAUAGUCCAUCCCAAAGUUUUGGGACUAAGGCUUUGUUGUUGUGCUUUUGUUGUAGGUGCUAUAUAAAAUUGUAUGAUACUCCUUCAAAGUCAACAGCAGAUGAAGAUGAUGAAAUGUCAAAGUUGCCUCCUUCUCAGAAAAAGAAAAUGAGGCAAAAACAGAGAAAGGCAGAAGCACGAGCUAAGAAAGUAUUGCUAUUUAUCUGUGCUUUCUGGUAAUUAUUCCUGCUUAAAUGGUUUUCAUACUAAUGUUUUGCUUUCUUUUAGGAGGCAGAAGAAAAACAUGAAGAAUCAAGUGUUGGUGCUGCCUCUAAGUCCGGAAAACGACAUGUCAAACCUGUAGAUCCAGAUCCUAAUGGGGAAAAGUUGUUGCAGGUUCUUGCAAUCCUACUGUUGGCUUAUCUUUUUCUUUCCUUUUUAAUAUUUCUGACUGCUAAGAAACAUCUUUAGAUUGCUGGACAAAGUGUUUUUCUUAAAUCCUAAGAUAAAUAUCAGCGUAUCUCAUGUGAAUAUUGUUUUAUUUAGGUUGAAGAUCCACUACUGGAAGCUACAAAGUACUUAAAGCUGCUUCAGAAGAACUCGCCCAAUUCCUUGGAGACACAUUUGCUUUCUUUUGAAUUAAAUAUGAGAAAGCAGAGAAUUUUGCUGGCCUUUCAGGUAGUUUUAUGUUGAAAUUUGUAACAUUGAAACCCUUUUUCAUUGUCAUUAUCUUCUUUGUUGGUUGUACAAUGUUAACUAAGAGUUAGACUUAGAUUAACACCCAUAGGUUGUCUGCAAUUUACAAUAUGUAAUUGAAAACUGAGUACCUUUCUACCUUUUUUGUCUUGACAAAAGGCAAGUUCUAUAUUAAUGGGAUUUCUCUCUUAUUUGUCUAUUUAUUUAUUAUGGUUCACCAGAAAACUGAAUAGUUUUUGUUACAUACCUUGUAGCUCAAUCACACUUAUGCUUGCAGCUUCAUUUUAAUGUAUGAUGGUAAAGUAAUUUGUUGUUCUUUGUCCUGUAGGCUUUAAAGCAGUUGCUAAGGUUGGAUGCUGAACACCCAGAUUCACAUCGCAGCUUGGUAUUGUAGCUUUCUUUUACUAUUAGUCAACUGACUUGUUCACAAUCAUCUUCUGCAUUUCCUACCCUAUGCCUCAGUGUUGGUGGUGGUGGUUUGUGGGUUUUUCUGGGGUGGGGGGGGGUUUUUUUAUAAAAAAAAAAAAAAAAAAUUUAAAUGUCAAUUUGGCUAUUUUGGCAAUUUGUUAUGCUGUAGAUUAAAUUCUUCCAUAAAGUGGGAUCGAUGGCUGCUCCGGUGACUGAUACUGAGAAACUCAUUUGGAGUGUUUUAGAAGCAGAGCGUCCAACAAUUAGGUACUCUUGUAAAUUGUUUUUAUUUUUAAUAUUUUAAUGCUGCUCUAUAAUGUUGUUUGUCCUUUUAAAAUUGCCUACUGAAUGUCUAUUUAUUCUUUUCCUGUAGUCAACUGCAUGAGAAAUCUUUGAUUGAGGGAAACAGGACUUUCCUUGAACAACAUAAAGGUCAUAGUCAACCUUUACCUAAUGUGCAGUAUGAGAACCUCAACAUUUGCAGCAUUGUAAUGACACCUCCCCACCCCACACCUCUUUUUUUUUUUCUCCUUGCAGAUUCUUUGAUGCAUAGAGCUGCUGUUGCAGAAAUGCUUUAUGUUUUGGAACCUGAUAAAAAGCCAGAGGCUAUCAAAUUAAUCGAAGAAUCAACUAAUAACAUAGUACCCAAGUAAUGCGCCUUAGUAAUUUGUUUUUGUUUUUUGUUUAAUAUUUAAUUCCUUUGCCUUUUGUGUCUUCAAUAGUGAUUACACAUUGAACCUCUACAUGUUUUAUUAUAAUAGAAAUGGAGCGCUUGGACCAGUCAGGGAAUGGAAACUCAAAGACUGUAUUGCGGUCCACAAGUUCCUAGGAACGGUCCUUGUUGACAAUGAAGCUGCAUUGAGUAAGUACCAUGCUCCUCCAUGUUGACUGUAUAUGAGAAAUAAUAUUUUUUGAAGCAAAUAUGUAAUAUUGGUGAUCAUAGUGUAUUUAGGUUCUCCAAAAUUAUGUUUACUUGGUUUGAAUUUCCUAAAUUGUCCAUAUUACUUUAGCAUUCUUUGCAUGUUCUGUUUUGCCAAUAUUUCAGCUUCAAGAUUUGCCAUCACUUAUAAGGUCAACAACAGUAGGAAGAUAAACCUUGUAAUCCUUUGUUGUUUUUAUGCUGUAAUGCAAUGCCAUCGAAUGUAUGGUUGGUUCUUUUACACUUGUUAUAGGUUUCAGUCUUUAAGUCUUUAGUUAAUGGUUGGUUAUAGAUAAAAUUUUUUGGUCUCGUGUUUGAGUCCUAAAAUGUGCCUUUCUUUGCAGGUUAGUACCUUGUCAAAGUCUUGUAUUUUCUCUUUAAAUCACAUAGUCGUUGCAGAUCAAUACACAUUAUUUAUUAUAGACAUUCACAUUAUUUUCUGCUACCUACUUGUAUUUGGUCUUAAUCUAUUGUCUUUUGAAGAACAAAGGAUGGUGUUUGACAUGGUACUAGCACUUAGUACAACAAUAAACGGAUAAAAUUUCUAUCAUGUUCUUGUUCAGAUUGAUAGGGGUCAGGUACGGUAAUUAUGUCCAUGGUACGAUAAUCUUCUUUUGUUGUAGGAUGGAAGGUGCGUUGUGCGGAGUACUUCCCUUUCUCUACAUACUUUGAGGGCAGCCUCAGCUCUGCUGUACCUAACUCAGCAUACAACCGGAUAUGUAAACGGUCUGAAAAUGGGAGUGCAAACCAUUCAGGUGGUGAAACUGGAGAUUCCCUUGCAUCAAACGGAAAGCUAGAGACAUUUAAGGACCUCACCAUCUGA
rnacentral:sRNA from 1 species